rnacentral:lncRNA from 1 species
GCUGUUACGGUUUUUUUUUUUUAGGGUUCGGUGUUUUACUGUUGAGCUGCUCAGUGCCCAGCUUAGAGGACCAGGAAAAGGAGUCACCGGCCAUAUGCUGGAGGCUUGAGACACGGCACAGCGGCGCAGCUCGCCUCGCUAUGGUUGGUGGUGGCAGUGGAGCUUGCGAUUGCCACGCGGCUGGAGGGUCCUUUAGGUUGUUUGAGGGACAUUCAUCAAGGAAACCGGAGAAACUUAAAAUGCUCUUCCGCUUCUUUGGAACAGUCACAGAGAAAAGUGAACUCCUUUCAUUCUUGCAGUAAUUUUUCUUGCUGAUGGGAACAGUUCAAGUCAAGUGACAUAACCUACUGGGUUGGUGACAUUUACAAGACAGAGUCUUGAGGAUUUUCCAGAACGGGAAAGAUUUUGAAAGAACAAAGAGGAACUACAGAAUCAUUGCUUACAUUGACACCGGCCCUGUUGUCCCAAUGGAUGGGUUUUUUUUGGAUGAACGUCAAAAUUGACCCUGCUGUUAAAGCUUGAAACUUGGAUCUGUUGUAUCUGAGUUCUCUCCUCAAAAAAAGACCUUCAGGAAGUAUCAGAUAACUGAAACAUACCAGAUCACAGCACCACAUGCCUCCUGCCCCUCCCUAAUUUCUGUUCUCUUAUACAUUGUUAAAUUUUUUUCCUGCCCCUAUUAGUCAAGCCCAUGGAUUUGAGACUGAGCUCCCAGCUCCUGGGCCGCAGCACCAGGUUAAAGCUUUCUUCCUUGGCAGUACUUGUCACCUCAGUGACUGGCUUUUUCUCCGAUGAGCAGGAGGACCUGGACGAAACCCCUAGUGUUUGGUCAAGGAACUUGAUGCUCCCUAAAUCCAAAUAUUACGGUUAAAAGAAGAGAGAGGAAAUGUGUGCAGAGAAAGUGUAUUUUACAAAUGAAUUAAAGGUGGAUUCUGAGUUACAGGUUUAUAGAUUUACCUAGAGUUUUGAGUUCAGGAAGCCAUCAUUCUUUAGAGGGCAAUGACCAAACAGUACCAGCAGAAAUUGAAGUACCAGCAGAAGGCUAAGAAGGGAUCAUGGCACAAGCUGCAGUUUCCACCCUGCCCAUUGAAGAUGAGGAGUCCAUGGCAGAUGAG